GGCUCAGGACGAACGCUGGCGGCGUGCCUAAUACAUGCAAGUCGAACGGUCUUUCUAUGGAAGCUUGCUUCCACUGAGAAGAUAGUGGCGAACGGGUGAGUAACACGUGGGUAACCUGCCCAUAAGAGGGGGAUAACAUCCGGAAACGGGUGCUAAUACCGCAUAGUUUCUUGAUCGCAUGAUCGGGAAAGGAAAGACGGCCUUUGUGCUGUCGCUUAUGGAUGGACCCGCGGCGUAUUAGUUAGUUGGUGAGGUAACGGCUCACCAAGACGAUGAUACGUAGCCGACCUGAGAGGGUGAUCGGCCACAUUGGGACUGAGACACGGCCCAAACUCCUACGGGAGGCAGCAGUAGGGAAUCUUCCGCAAUGGACGAAAGUCUGACGGAGCAACGCCGCGUGAGUGAAGAAAGGUUUUCGGAUCGUAAAACUCUGUUGUCAGAGAAGAACAAGUUGGAGAGUAACUGCUCCAGCCUUGACGGUAUCUGACCAGAAAGCCACGGCUAACUACGUGCCAGCCGCUGC
rnacentral:rRNA from 1 species